rnacentral:rRNA from 1 species
CGGGGAAUUUUGGACAAUGGGCGAAAGCCUGAUCCAGCAAUGCCGCGUGUGUGAAGAAGGCCUUCGGGUUGUAAAGCACUUUUGUCCGGAAAGAAAUCCUUGGCUCUAAUACAGUCGGGGGAUGACGGUACCGGAAGAAUAAGCACCGGCUAACUACGUGCCAGCAGCCGCGGUAAUACGUAGGGUGCAAGCGUUAAUCGGAAUUACUGGGCGUAAAGCGUGCGCAGGCGGUUUGCUAAGACCGAUGUGAAAUCCCCGGGCUCAACCUGGGAACUGCAUUGGUGACUGGCAGGCUAGAGUAUGGCAGAGGGGGGUAGAAUUCCACGUGUAGCAGUGAAAUGCGUAGAGAUGUGGAGGAAUACCGAUGGCGAAGGCAGCCCCCUGGGCCAAUACUGACGCUCAUGCACGAAAGCGUGGGGAGCAAACAGGAUUAGAUACCCUGGUAGUCCACGCCCUAAACGAUGCCAACUAGUUGUUGGGGAUUCAUUUCCUUAGUAACGUAGCUAACGCGUGAAGUUGACCGCCUGGGGAGUACGGUCGCAAGAUUAAAACUCAAAGGAAUUGACGGGG